UACGGGGGGGAGCAAGCGUUGUUCGGAUUUACUGGGCGUAAAGGGCGCGUAGGCGGCCACCGCAAGUCGGUUGUGAAAUCUCCGGGCUUAACCCGGAAAGGUCAACCGAUACUGCGGGGCUAGAGUGCAGAAGGGGCAACCGGAAUUCUCGGUGUAGCGGUGAAAUGCGUAGAUAUCGAGAGGAACACCUGCGGCGAAGGCGGGUUGCUGGGCUGACACUGACGCUGAGGCGCGAAAGCUAGGGGAGCGAACGGG
rnacentral:rRNA from 1 species